GUUGAGCAAAGCAUCAAUGCCCAACAAGACUGUAAUAAUCACAAUAGUGAACAAAGCCUAUGUCGAAGGCGACGACACAUCGAUGCUGGAUCUUUUUCUGGAGAGCUUCUGGAUCGGAGAAGGCACUAGGGAGAUGGCGGACCACCUCUUGGUGGUGGCGGGGGACCAGACGGCGUACGACCGCUGCAUUUUCCGGAGACUCCACUGCUACAAAAUGGUGGGCGAGGACGGAGAUAUGGAGGGGGAGAAACUUUACAUGUCGGAGGACUUCAUCGAGAUGAUGUGGAGAAGGACUCUCCUUCUCCUGCAUGUGCUCGAGCGUGGCUACAGUUUCAUCUUCACGGUACGUACUAUUACUAAACGACACCGUUUUGGUCCAAUUUUUUGGAGUUAGGCUUUUGUUUGCCGUUUAAUUAGCUUAAUUAAAUGUAAAUAUUAAAAGUGGGGCGUUUUGAUUGACAACUUAUAAUAACCACAUUAACCAAACAGACCGUAUCCUUUAUUUAUUUAUUUUUUCCUUUUGGAUUUUUAAUUUUUUUAAAUAUUUCAAAACAAAAUAUAAUUUAUUUUUACUAGUAAAUUUUAUUUUAUGUGUUGAGAUGGGGAUUUAUUUAAUUAUACAUGCAAUUUUGUCGAGGAAAAAAUUAAAUCAUCCUAUAGGGAAAAAAAAAGGCAAAAUUAGAAUUUUCUUUUAUUAUUAUAAAUUGACAUUUUCUAAUAUCAUAUAUUAUAAUUGCUCAUAAAAAAUGAAAACUUUUUAAAAAUUUAAUGAAGUUAAUGAUCUUGUUAGGAUAAGUUUAUUUAAAUAGCUUUUAAUUUAAAAUUUUUAAUAUUAAAAUAUAAAAAAAUAUUUAUUUUCUUUCACAUAAAAAAAAAAAAAAAAAAUCUCUUUGUUUGAAUCCUUAUUAUCAUAUCAUCAAGUGGUGGUUAACCAAUUCAACUUUCUUGGGUAAUUUACCUCGUAUCCUUACUUUAUUACUACAAUUGAAUAAAACUUCCUGAAUAAUUAAAUAAAUAUUAAAAUAUUAAAAUAUUAACUUAAAAUGAAAAUAAAAAAUAAAAAAUUGAAGCCAAAAAAUCUAGCUCUACUUCAUUAACAUAAAUACAUGAAGUUUGAUGUUUUUCUUUUUCCAUAAUGAAUAUUUGUUUUUAUUUUAUACUGAAAUUUUAUUUUGAAUUAAAAUGAAGAUUUGUGUCAUGUGAAAAUGGUGGAUUUAUUUUUUGUUUUUAUUUGUUUUUUUUUUUUUCUUAAUAUGGAAUUUUAAUCGUUUAGUCAAUAGUCAAUAUAAUAUGGACUCCUAAAAGAUGAAAAAGAUAGAACUAAUGUGUGUUGAGUAAUGUUUUAUCGAUAACUAUUUUCUUUAAAAUUAUUUUUUAAAUGUUUUCAAUAUAAUCAUUAAUCAAGUAUUUUUUUAUAAAACAGUAAAAGUAAAUUUUAUUUUAUUUUUAAAAUUUGUAAAAGUGCUUAAAUUUUAUCAAAUGCAUAAUUUUUUUCAAAAACACUCUUUACAUUAAAAACACUUUUUAAAAUCAUCAUCAAAUGGAUUUUUAAUAUAAUAAAAUUAUAAGAAAUGUGUUCAUAUUCUUAUCAUUUCUAAAAAAAUGUAGCAUAUGGUAAUUACUAUAUAAUAUUAUUUAUAUACAUAAUUUUUUUUAAAAUAUAUAUUAAAAUUAAGAAGACUAUAAUAUUAAAAAAAAAAUGAAUAAGAAUAUUAAUAAAAAACAAAAUAGGAAAAAAUAAUAGGAAAGAAGUAACUAAGCCUUAAACAUUAUUCACACAAAUAAUAUUAAGAUAAUAAUUUCCUAGAAAAGGGAAAAAAAUAUGAGAAAUAAAAAAAAAAAAGAUAAAUAUAAGGUAGUGAGUUUUAAACCUAGCUAAGAUUUCCCUUUUUCUUUUCUUUUUUUUCUUUUUUUUUUUGUUUUACUUUUUUAUUUUAAUUAAUGGAACAUAUAUAUAAAGAAACAAGACAAAUAAAAUAAAUAUCGAUAAAUUGAAGAAUUUUGAGUUGAAAAUCACUAGUAUUUUGCUUUUCCAUUUUUAAUUUUAAGUUGAUUUAUGUUUUUUAUUUUUUAAAAAUUAUUGAUAGAAAUUAGGUUUCACAUCAAUGACUAAGAAUGGCUAAGAAGAUGGGAUAAGAAGAUGAGAUGAUUCAAUUCCAACUAUUAUUAACUACUUGAUGCAAUGGGAAGGGAUUUUUUAUUUGAGGAGGUCCACCCCACCAUAAUAUUUUUGAACUUAUUUAGGAGGUUGUUAAUCUAUUUUUAAUAAAUACCAAAUUAUGACUUUCACUCCAAAAACAAAAUAGUGAAGUCAAUGUCCCAACACAAUCAUUUUUAAUAUUAAGGUUAAACUUGAUUUAAAUUUUUUUAACCAAAGCUCAAUUUGAACGAAUUAAAUUUUAUAGCAUUUAUAUUUAUAUUGUUAUAUAUAGUAACAUUUAUUUUUUUUCCUUUUAGAUUUUUAAUAAAAGAGUUUCAAAUUAUUAUUAUAUAUUUUUCUAUAGAGAUAAAUUUAUUUUGCCUCAUUUACUAUUUAAAUUUGAAUUAAUUGGUUCAAAAAGGAUUAAAUGAUUAUCAUAUUUGUGAAUUUAACCUCUUCAUGUUUUUAUUUAAAGAGUAAUCCAUUUAAACAUAAAUAUCGUUAACCAUCGCAUGUAUUUACAUGUAUGUUUUAAAAAAUGGUUAUUUUUAUAAGAAAAAAAUAAGGUCAUUUGUAUACAAAUGAGAUUAAAAGAAUGAUGAAGUGCUAAAUUUUUGAAAUUGGAUUUUUAACAACCCUUUAAAUUUUGUUACAAUUUAUAUUUUUUAUAAGGGCUAAAUUUUCAAAAUUGGAUUUUUAACGGCCCUUUAAAUCAAAUAACCCUUUAAAUUUUGCUACAAUUUAUAUAUAUAUUUUUAAAUAUUAAAAUAUAGUUAGUUAAACUUAGUUUGAUUGUUUUAUUCUUAAGAGCUUGUAUUGAUUUGAAACUCGAAUCAAGGAGCCCUAGAUGAGAUGGAUAGAAUUGUUUUCUUAGAUCAAUUUCUACUAAAAUUUUAACACAGGACACGGAUGUAAGUUGGCUGAGGAACCCAUUUCCAAGGUUAACCACAAACCUAACUGCAGAUCUCCAAAUCAGCACCGACAAGUUCCUCAGCAGCCACCGGCCGGAAGACAACUCCAUUAACACCGGAUUCUACUUCGUCCGAUCAAACAACAAGACCAUUGCCCUCUUUCAAACCUGGUAUGCCAUGAAGAACAACUCCAUAGGGAAGAAAGAACAAGAUGUACUAUCAGACCUUAUGCUGAAGGGCAUUUUUAGGCAGCUGGGUCUUGAAGUAAGGGCCCUUCACACCCUCUACUUCAGUGGGUUUUGCCAAGAUAGCAAAGACUUUAGGGCAGUCACCACUGUCCAUGCUAACUGCUGCAGAAGUAUUAGCGCCAAGGUGGCUGAUCUCAAGGCCGUCCACCGUGACUGGAGGCGGUUCAAGGCGGCCACCGCCACCAACAAGACGGUCACCGACGUUGAUGCUGCGACUUUCCGGUGGUCUGCUCAUGCAGCAUGUGUCAAUUCCUGGAAUAUUCCGAUGAAUACUGUGGGAUGAGUUUUGCUUGGAACAACAUAAUACAUAGAUGGAUAGAAGGUACAUUAUUUAGUUUGAGAUAAGACCAGUUGGUUUUUCAGGCUUCCCAACAGGAAAAUGACCUUAAACUUUUUCUCUUGAAAGCAAACUCUAGAUAUGUUUGGCUGGGAACAUGUUUUCCAUAUUUCUAAAUAUUAUUUUUAACUGUAAUACUUUGUUUUCCAUCAUUCUUCCUAUAAUAAUUAUUUUUUAUAACAAUCCCAAAAAAAAAUAAUUGUGAAGACGCAUGUUUGGUAACGGUUUCGAUAACAAUUUUUUGUUUCGUAAAAGAAAAAAACAGAAAAUUACGAAAACUAUUUUUUAUUUUCUAAUCUUAAGAAUAUAAAAUAUGUUGUUUUUAAAUAACAUCUUCUGUUUAAGGAAUUUUUUAUUGCAUUAAGUUUAAUUAUCCUACCCUUUUAUCGUAUGAAUGCUUUUAUCUUUGCUUCAAAUGGUAUACAAAAAUUACAAAGUUUUCAACCACCCUAAAAAUUAAAGGUUGUCAUUAUCAUGUUAUUUUUUAUUAAAUUAUUAAAUUUAAUAGAUUCCUUCAAUCAAUGAAUUUUUUAUUAUUAAAUUUUGAUAAAUCAAAUAUGGGAAAUAAAAGUGUUUCUUAGUGAUUAAAAACUAUAAUAAAAUUACAAAAAUAAUUGCAAGUAGGCAUCCAAAUAAUACAUUAAUAAAUUUUAUAGAAUCUACCACUCUAACAAAUAGUGUGCAAAGAAUAACGGAUUUUGUUUAGAGAUUGAAGUUGACUAAAAAAUAUUCACAUAUUGCUAUAAUAAAAUAUUUCUAAUUCUAUAAAGUUAUCAAUGGAGGCUAUUUGGAACUUCUAUAUGUACCAAUAUUAUUAUAUUUAUAAAGAAUCAAAUGGAGCAAACUAUUUUGUCAUCAAAGGUAUAUAGAAUAUGGAGUUAGGUCAAAUUUUCUUAGAAGCUUAUAACAUAUGGAUUUGAAGAUUACUUUGAAUCAUAUUUUAAUAUAAUCUCUAAAUACCCUAUCCAUAGCCUCUUUGUACCCAUUAUAAAAAUGUGUUAUAAAUAUGAUAUUCUACAUAGUAAUAAAAAAAUAUCUUAAAUGAUAUCAAAAUAUAUUUAAAGUGCAUUUGAUAGUAAUUUUAAAAAGUGUUUUUAAUAUUUGAAAUACUUAAAAAAUAAAAAUAAAAACAUUUCAAGUAUCAAAAAAACAAAAAAAUACUUCCUAAAAUAACUACUAAACACACUCUUAAACGUAAAGAUAAAUUUUACAUUGAAAUAUAGGACAUUAAUUAAAUUUUUAGCAUUCUUAAUUUUGAUGGCUAUACAUGCUAAUUUAAUAGUUCAAUUAAUCAACUAAUUAAAAUAUAACAUUUUUAAAAUCUUAGUUUAUUAAAUGGUUCAACUGCCUUUCAUCACUUUUUUUUUCAUGCAAUUAUUAAAAUUAAAAUUAACUUCAAGAAAUGAAUAAACAAAAUCACCUUUUGUCCAAAAUAAUUUUGUGCAUUGGUUGCAUGAAACUCAACUUCUUUACCAACUUUAUACUAACCAUAAGCUCUUACCUCCUAUAUUUCUCUCAUAAAUUCUUUUUAAAUAUAUGAAUAUAUCAAAUUUAAUAAUUUUUAAAAAUUAAACUAAUUUUAGCUAACAAUCUUAAUAAUUAAAAUGGAAUUAAAUAAUAAGUUUUAAUUUGACAAAUCAUUAAAAUACAAUUUUAUUCAUCUUAAAUUAUGAAAUAUUAAGUUUCAAAUUUUAUCUAAAAAUAUUUCAAGGAUGUAUAAACAUUUACUUUUUCUAUGAAUAUUAAAAUUUAUUAUGUCCCAUCUUAAGGAAAAUCCACAUUUUUUACUUUAAAAAUUUACAUUCUCCAUCAACAUCAAAAUGGAUAUAAUAAAUAUUGUGUCCAACUAGUUUUUGGGAAAAAAAAAAAAGGAAAAAAGAAAUCUUUCAAUCCUCCCCAAAUUCACUUAUUUCCAUUAGCAUUUUGAUUUAUUUCCUUUUAUAGUGAUGUCAUAAAGAUUUUUCUUAAGUUAUUUUAAUUUACUUCUUUUAGAUAUGUCCUAAAGUGUGAUGCAUCGAGUAGGGUGAGUGAGGUUUGUGUCAACCCGAAAUCAAACUCAAACUCAACUUCAUCUUUAACUCAAGGUGUUAAACCCAAUUCCAAUUCAAUCUUAAUAUUUUUUGUUUCAAGAUUAGGUUAGAUUCAUGUAGUUGAUCAUCAAGUUUAGGUUAAACUAGGAUUGAUCAUGAUAGACUAAGGUUAGAUUCAGGAUUUGAUCGCGAUAGACUAGGGUUGAGUGAGUUAUUCGAAUUGUAUAAAUUAAAUUCAAAUUACAUGGUAAAUCCAUUUAAAUUUGUAAUGACUUUUUUAAUUAUAUCUUAUCAAAAUUUAGAUAAAACACAUUUUGAUCAAAUAAUGAAAUAAUCUAUUUAUCUUUCUAGAAAACAAGAUUAUAGAUAAUAUAAAUAAAUUUGAUUCUUUUUUCAAAAAAAAAAUAUUUGAAAUAUAUAAAUUGAAUAUUAUAUAAUAAAAAAAAUUAUGAAUAUCAUAAGAUAUUGAAUCUAAGUUUCAAGUUGUCUAAAUCAUUAAUCCAAAUGUAACUUAAAUUGAACUCAAACUAAAAAACCUUGAAUCUUAAACUUUAGGUUAGAUUUAGGCUAUGCGGCCAAAAUUUCACCCCUAAGUUAACAUUAUUCUAUAUGAGCUAGGUGUUGGUUUAAGGGUCUAAAAUAACUAAACAAAUUGACUUAACCCAAAACUAAACAAAUAAGAAAUAAAACCAAUAGGAAAUAGAUACUUAUCAAAUUGUUUAGUUGAGGCUUGACAGAGCGUUGUCCUUAAAAGAGAUCUUCCCUCCUCAAGGUAUCAACCUUGGUGUGGUAGGGAAUCGACAUCUUGUCUUCAAGAUUCACAACCAAAAAAACCCCGCCUUAGGUGCACACCUUUGACAAGGAAAGUAUGGCUUGAAAGACUUAGAAGAUAAUUCCUCUAGUUAAGUAAAUGAUGAAAGGGUUGUAGCCUGAGAUGGCAGUAGUAAAACAAGCUUGCGGCUUAGGUGUAGUGUGACUAGUUGGUUACAACACUAUAUAAGAGGAUGUAGUGAGGGUAGAGCAUAGGUCUUGGGGUAUAGUAUGACUGGUUGGUUGUGUUACAAAAUUAUACCGGUAGAAAUAAUUUAAAAAUGGAAUAAUAAAAAAAAUAGAGCAAUAAAUAAAAUAAUUGGUAAAAGUACCUACAUAAUAAAACUCUUUUAAUAUGAAGGAAACCUCCACAGGGUAAAACCCCUUUUUUGGGAUGAAUAGUAUAGGGGGUGGAGGCCGCCUUUAAUAGCACAAGGAAGUUUCCCUCUUUUUAUCUUCUUCCAAUGUGGGGUGACUGAUUACUACUCAAAAAGAGCGUAUUUUAGAUAAUAAUUCUCAUGAGUUUCACAUCUUUUGAGUAGUAAUUAUGCCUAAAACACUCAAUUAACAUGUUGUUGUCCUUGCAAGAGUUACUAACAAGUUUUAUGAAGUUUUGGAGUCAUUUCAAGGUAUAAAUUUGAUAAAUUGGUGAUAAAAGAGAUGAAUCAAAUUAAAGAGAACAAAUAAUGUUGAUGAUGAUCCAAAUGCAUAAUUAAAGAAGUAAUGCAAUUGGUUUAGACUGGGAUUUGAGCUGAUUUAGAGGUAGUUGAAGUGGAAAAAGAAAAAGAAAAUGGAAGAAAUGACAAAAGAAAGCUUAAAAAUCAAAUAUUUCCAUUUCGCAUGAUCAUGCGAAAAUUUCGCAUAACUAUGCAAAAUAGACUAGAAGGUGGAAUUAUGUUGCAGGCUAAAGGAGAAUUGUCAAGCUGAUUUCGCAUGAUCAUGCGAAAAUUUUACACAGUCAUGCUAAAUACUCUAGAAAGUUGUAAAUGCUGCUGUUGAAAUCUUGAUUUCUCACAACCAUGUGAAAUUGGUUGAGCUCAUGCGAAAUUGGUUGAGCUCAUGCAAAAUGGUCAUCUUGUUGUUAAACUUUAGAUUUCUUGAUGAAGAAGCUUCCAAAAGACCUCUUAAAUGAUGUCAAGUGUGCACUUGACCUUGGCCUAUAAAUAAAAACUUGAAUUUCUCAUGUAAAAUGAGAGUUUUUUUAUUUCUAAUCGUAUAAUUUUCCAGAUUUUCUCUCUCAAUAGAAUUCUCUACUUUCCUUAAUUUUCUUACUAGCCAAACAUGCCUUGUGAGACCAAAUCUCCAAGCAUGAGUGGCUAAAUCUUGUUUUUCUCGGAUGAAUGAGGAUCUAGAGGCAAGAUCUAUGGUGAAUUAGAGAAAUGAGUUUUAAUUACAAAGGUAAUUUGAUCCAAUUGAUUGAUUAAUUGAAUUUUGGGGAUUUUUCUCUUCAAGUUCUCUUGGAUGACUACUACAAUGCAAACUAGGUAGAUUCAUUAAAUUCUUAAAAUUAGAUUUGAUGAGAUUGAAUAGUUGCAUUGUGUAAAUCAUUGGAAGAUCAUUUAAGAUGAAUUGAAUAUGUGAUUUAAAUUGAUCUCUUAGAUUAAAUGAUCUAAUUUGAAGAGAAAUUAGAUCUAGACAUAAAGCUAAAUCAAAAAUCGGUUUAAAUGAAAAUUUAGGUUUUCAAUCUAACUUAAUGAAAAUUAGAUCUCAACAUCUAUUCACCAUGGAAUUUGUUUAAAAUUCUAACUCCAAAAAUUUCAUUUCCUAUUAAUUUUCUUAUAUUUCACAUUUCAUUGUUUUUCUCAAUUAGAAACCAUUGUUAAAUUGAUUUUUCACCAAAAAUUUUCAAAUCAAUUUCACUUUAUCACAAUCAUUUCUUCUCCUCUCAUUUAAGCCUUAAUUACCAAGAGCAAUCCAUCCUAGUAGACAACACCUAAAAACCACUAUACUAUAGUAGUUUGUACUAAAACCACUUUUUGAUCAGGUACAAGCUACUCUAGAAUAGUGAAUUAGGUUAUAAAUUGUGUUUUGAUCCAAUAAACAACGAAAAAUCAAUCGAUCAAAAAUGGCACCAUUGCUGGGGAUGGUGCCAAGGUGAUUGAGGCAAAUUUAUUGGUGAUGAUUAGCCCUUGUGAUCCACAUCACAAGAUUGGUGAAGUUCUCUUUACUGAUUCUCCAUUUUUCUUUUUCUUUUUUCUUUUUAAAAUUCCAUUUUUUUUCUUUUACUUCUCUUUUUGUUAUUCUUGGUUUGUUUUGGUUUUUCUUGGCUUGUUUUGUAGGCUCUCCAUCGCAUGCUACAUUGAGAAUAAAAUUUGAGGGAGAGAUUGCAAAGAACUUACAUUGCUAAUCAUCUUUGAUUUGUGAUCUAAUUGUUGAGGAAAUGGAAAAUCAAGAGGAAGACUAGCAAAGUCAUCAUAGACCAAACAAUGAUAAUUCUCACAUGUCUAGAUCAAUGAGAGAAUAUAUGCAUCCUCAAAGGAUAGGCGUGGGAUCAUGUAUAGUUCUUCCUAAUGAGCCUAUUGUUAUAAAAACUCACUUAGUAUCACUUCUCCCUCAAUUUCAUGGAAUGGAGAAUGAGAAUCCUUAUACUCAUAUAAAGGAUUUUGAAGAUGUCAUACUUUUCAAGAAGGGACUGUAUCCAUAGAGCUUAUGAGAUUGAAGCUUUUUCCAUUCACAUUGAAGGAUAAUGUCAAGUUGUGGUUCAACUCAUUGAGGCCCCAAAACAUAAGGUCAUGGUUGGAACUACAAACAACCUUAUUAAAGAAAUUUUUUCCACACAUCAUAUAAGUGGCUUGAAAAGGAAAAUUACCAACUUUGUGGCAUUGGACAAUGAAAAAUUUUAUGCUUGUUGGGAAAGAUAUAUAGAAGUAGUCAAUGCUUGUCCUCAUCAUGGUUUUGAUGUUGGUGAGUUACUUCUAUGAGGGCAUAUUGCCAACUAUGAAGCAAUUGCUAGAAACCAUGUGUGGAGGUGACUUUAUGAGCAAAAGUCUCGAUGAAGCCUUUGAAUUUUUGAAUUAUGUGGCUAAAAUAUCAAGGUCAUGGGAUGAGCCACAUGAAAGAGAUUUACACAAGUCCAAGUCGAUCUCAAAGCAAUUCAAAAAGAGGAAUGUAUAUGUUGAAUGAAGAUGUUGAUCUACAAGCUCAAAUGAUAGCUUUGACAAAAAGGCUAGAGGAACUUGAAGCUAAGGGAUUUCAUGAAGUGAAUGCAAUAGAUAAUCCAAUUUACUUGGAGCAAUGUUCUAGUUGUCAAUCUAUAGAACAUGAAGUGAGUGAUUGUCCUACAAUACCAGCUAUGGGAGAAAGACUUGUUGAGAAUCAUCUGAACAUGUCAUGGAAUUGUGGACAAGAGCAAUUUUCUUCAAGCCAAUACUUACAAAGCCAACAAUUCAUGGAAGACUCUCCAUAAUAAGUUUCUUUGGUUAAGCAAGCUAUUGUAAACUUGAGUAAAAUUUUGGGAGAUUUUAUUGGUAAUCAAAAGAAUAUCAAUACCCAAGUAAACCAAAUGAUAGAUCAUGUGGAGACAUUUUUCAAUUAGAAAUUUGAUAGCUUGCAAACCAAUCUCACAUAAAAAAAUUGAUAAUAUGCAGCUUGCUAUUUCUAAACUCACAAGUAUGCAUAGAGUGCAAGAAAAAGGAAAAUUCUCUUCACAACCUCAACAAAAUUCAAGUGGAGCUCAUGACAUUGGAGAAAAAAAAAGUGAAAAUUCUGCUAAAUUAAAUGAAGUAAAGGCAGUCAUUACCUUAAGAUGUGGUAAGCAAGUUGAUCAACUUAUGCCAAAACCAAAAGAGAAUAAAAGCUGGGAACAAGAAGAAAAUGUGAAAGAGCAAGAAAGAUGAAAAAGAGUGAAUGAAGAUGAUAGAUAAAAGGAAUAUGAGAUUGUUAAUGAAGAGGUUAAGAAGAAAUACAAGUUAUUAUCUCCACCUUUUCCAAAAGCUCUUCAAUUAAGAAAUGUGGUAAAUAAUGCUACUGAAAUUUUUGAAGUUUUGAAGCAAGUCAAAGUUAAUAUACCACUCCUAGACAUGAUAAGACAAGUUCCAGCCUAUGUCAAGUUUCUUAAGAAUUUGUGUAUCAUAAAGAGAAUGAUGCAUUUGAAAAAGAAAGCUUUCUUGACUGAACAAGUUAGUGCAAUCAUUCAAUGGAAGACCCCAAUCAAGUAUAAGGAUUUGGGAUGUCCAACUAUCUCAGUGACUAUUGGCAACACUUUUAGACUUGGGAGCAAGUAUGAAUCUUCUUCCCAAGGUAUUUAAGCAAUUGGGGCUUAGAGAAGUAAAGUCUAUUUCCAUCACACUUUCAUUGGCAGAUAGAUCGGUUAAAUUUCCAAGAUGAAUUAUUGAAGAUGUGUUGAUCCAAAUCGAUAACUUCUAUUAUCCAGUUGAGUUUGUGGUGCUUGAUACGGAAUAAGGAACUAGUGGACUCAACCAUGUUCCUAUUAUACUUGGCCGACUUUCCUUGCCAUAGCAAAUGUAUUGAUUAAUUGUCAAAGUGUGGUGAUGCAACUUACCUUUGGUAACAUGACAAUUGAACUAAAAAAAUUUCAUUCAUGUAAGAAGCAUGGUACCAAAGAUGAGGAACUUAUGAAGGCUUAUUUGAUUGAAUUGCCUAUGGAAGAGUUAGUGAAAGAAAAUGUUGAAGAUAAUUUUUCAAAACUUGGUGAAACAAUUUCCAAUAAACAGAUUGAAGUUUGGAGGAUUAAUGAAGAAAUUCAACCUUUGAAGUUAAUGAAAUGGUCUUUCUACUUCAAGAAAGUGAAAACAAUGAAGCAUGGUAUGCAUAAUAAUUCAAAGACUAUAAAAAAAGAAGCUCAAGGAAUGGCAUAACCAACUUAUUCAAAAGAAUAAGUUCAAAGAAGGUUAUUUCAAGCCACAUAUUUUUCCAGGAAAGCUUAAGUACCAAGGAGUUGGUCCAUUCAUUGUUUGCAAACCAUAUCCAAAUCGAGUAUUGAUGCAAAGGUUAAUGGGCUUAGUCAUGUCAAUGGCCAGCUAGCCUAAUGGUUUCUCAUUUCUCUACUUUCCUUUGAAUUUCGAUUUUUUUGAGUUUUCUUUUAGUUUCCAUUAAAUAAAUUCAUCUCAACUCUUUGAUUUGUGUUUUGAAGGACUUUUUGGAUGGAUAGAAUGCAUGAAGUAAGGAAAAAUGAGUUUUAAUGGCCCAUCACCGGUUUGCACAUUCGCGUAAAAACAGGAGAAUUCAUGCCAAAAACAAGGGAGUUUUCAUAGUUUUGAAAAUGCAAAAAAAAAUGAGUCUCUGUCUCAUUUCACAUGACUAUGCGAAACUGAUGUGGAUGACUACAGCAGUUUUAAGCCUCUAGACCAAUUCACAUGAUCAUGCGAAUUUUCACAUAACUAUGCGAAAAUUCUGUUGAAUGCUACAAUAAGAUAGAGCUCUCUUGACCAAUUCUCAUAUACAUGAGAAUUUUUGCAUAAUUGUGUCAAAUUCUUUUAAAAGAAAAGAGUAAUUGCAACACACUUCACCUUCUUGUCUAAUUUGCACAUUUAUGUGAAAUUUUAAAAAACUCCAUGUGAAUAUUGGCUUAUCAUUGAAAUCAUGUUUUCUUUGGAUAUUGUCAUCAUCUAUACCUUGAUUUUACUUCACACAUUGUGUCUCUAACAUAGUUUUUUGGUUUUUAAUAGAUUUGUUUUCAUAUUUUCUUCUCUUAUGUCAUUCAUAUCCAACAAUUCUUAUGUGUGAUCUUAUUUUUGUUUUAGCUAUUGAAGCUUAAAUUCAUGAGAGAUUGAGGUAUCUUCCCUUCCUUUCUUUGUAUAUUUUCAUUACACAUUGAGGACAAUGUACAAGUUAGGUUGGAGGGAAGGUUAAAAAGGAAGAUAAAGAAAUAUAUAGUUAGUUUUGUUAGUGGUUAAAAAGGAAGAUAAAGAAAUAUAUUGUUAGUUUUUUUAGUUUUUCUAGAAUAUUUUUUUUCAUAAAUCACAUUUGUGACUUAUCUAGUGAAAUUUUUUGAGAUGACUAUAGCAUUUAUGAUUGAUGAAUGAGCAAACCUAAUUUGAAAAAAAAAAUUGAUUUAGAAUACUAGUUUAUUUGUUUGAUCUUAGAAGAUUUGCUAUGUGAAUUAAAUUUGAUUUGACUUUGACGUCUUCAUUUUCCAAAUGGUCAUUUUUAUUUGAGUCUUGACACAUACUAUGCACUCUAGACCUCAGAUAUAAGAUGAAAAACUAGUUUAACUUAAGACUUGGACUUAAUUGUCUUGUAACAUUGAUUACUCUUUAAUUGAGUUGAGACACCUUAAAAAGAUGCCAGCAUGCCCAAUUUUAAAAAAAAAAUGAAUGAAAAAAAAAUGAGUUAUGCUUGCCUUGAAACUUAAGCAAAGUUUGAGGAGUAUAUGGCCCAAAGGUCUUUGAAGCUCGAUGCCCUAAGUCAUUUUGGUUGGGAGCCACCAACCUCAAUGCUCAUUACAUGGGUGGAUAGGUGGAGUAUGAGCUCAAUUGUAGGUGCUAAGGUAUUGGAUCCCAAUUUGAGGAGUCCAGGGUAAAGUCCAAGGAGUUAGUGGCUGGUUAAGUAGUCAUAUAAACUUGGUGCCCUAUGCCUUAUGGUUGGGAGUCAUCGAUGAAUCCUCACUACAUGGACCAUAUACUUGGAGAUAUCUUUAGCAUUGCACUCCUACAAUAAGUUCUUUGAAAAUAAUAAUAAUAAUAAUAAUAAUAAUAAUAAGAUAAAGAUAGGUACGUUCUUGACUUAUGAGAGAAUGAUUUUUGUUGUUUGAGAUCAAUUGAGUUAGGUUGGGGGAGGAUUAGUUUUGAGUACUAUAUUCGGGAGCUAGCUUAAUUACACUCAACACUUGUUUAGGGAAUGAAGAUAGAUAUGUUUUUGAUACCUUGAUUUGCAUGACAUUCUUUCUAUUAGAGAUAGUAAAUAAGUUGGGAUUUUUUUUAUACCUAUGGAUAGUAGGGUGUGUUUGUUUAUCAACCAUUUAUGCUAUGGAAAUUUCAAAGAUUUUUUUUUCAAAUGAUUUGCUUAUGUGACUUAUGAUUUCUUUUUUUGGUAUUGUUUUUCUUUCCUUUUGUCAUACAAUUGCUAAGAGACGAGCAAUGUGUUGGUUAGGGGGAAUGAUAACUACUCAAAAAGAGCAUAUUUUAGAUAAUAAUUCUCAUAAUUUUCACAUUUUUUGAGUAGUAAUUAUGUCUAAAACACUCAAUUAACAUGGUGUUGCCCUUACAAGAGUUAUUAACAAGUUUUAUGAAGUUUUGAAGUCAUUUCAAGGUAUAAAUUUGAUAAAUUAGUGACAAAAGAGAUGAAUCAAAUUGAAGAGAACAAAUAAUGUUGAUGAUGAUCCAAAUGUGUAAUUAAAGAAGUCAUGCAAUUGGUUUGGACUGGGAUUUGAGCUUAUUUGGAGGUAGUUGAAGUGGAAAAGAAGAAGAAAAUGGAAAAAAUGACAAAAGAAAGCCAAAAAUCAAAUAUUUCCAUUUCGCAUAACUAUGCGAAAUGGACUAGAAAGUGGAAUUAUGUUGCAAGCUAAAGAGAAUUGUCAAGCUGAUUUCGCAUGAUCAUGCGAAAAUUUCGCACAAUCAUGUGAAAUGCUCCAGAAAGUUGUAACUGUUGUUAUUGAAUUCUUGAUUUCGCAUAACCACGCAAAAUUGGUUGAACUCGUGCGAAAUGGUCAUCUUGUUGUUAAACUCCAGAUUGGUUGAUGAAGAAGCUUCUGAAAGUCCUCUUAGAUGACAACAAGUGCCCACUUGACCUUGACCUAUAAAUAGAAACUUGAAUUUCUCAUGUAAAAGUGGAUCUUUUGGACAUUUCUAAUUGUAGAAUUUUCCAAAUUUUCUCUUUCAAUAGAAUUCUCUAUUUUCCUUCAUUUUCUAUCAUUUUCUCACUAGCCAAACAUGUCUUGUGAGACCAAAUCUCUAAGCAUGAGUGGCUAAAUCUUAUUUUUCUCGGAAGAAAGAGGAUCUAGAGGCAAGAUUUAUGGUGAAUUAGAUAAAUUAGCUUAAUUGCAAAGGUAAUUUGAUCCAAUUGAUUGAUUAAUUGAAUUUUGGGGAUUUUUCUCUUCAAAUUGUCUUAGAUGACUACUACAAUGCAAACUAGGUAGAUUCAUUAAAUUCUUAAAGCUAGAUUUGAUGAAAUUGAACAAUUACAUUGUGUGAAUCAUUGAAAGAUAAUUUAAGAUGAAUUGAAUAUAUUAUUUGAAUUAAUCUCUUGCAUUAAAUGAUCUAAUUUGAAGAUAAAUUAAAUCUAGACCUAAAGUUAAAUCAAAAAUCAGUUUAAAUGAAAAUUUAGGUUUUCAAUCUAACUUGAUGAAAAUUAGAUCUCAACAUCUAUUCACCAUGGAAUUUGUUUUCUAGAAAAUUCUAACUCCGAGAAUUUCAUUUCCUAUUAAUUUUCUUCUAUUUCACAUUUCAUUGUUCUUCUCAAUUAAAAACCAUUGUUAAAUUGAUUUUUCCCCAUAAAAUUUCAAAUCAAUUUCACUUGAUCACAAUCAUUUCUUCUCCUCUCAUUUAAGCCUUAAUUACCAAGAAUAAUCCAUCCUAGUGGACGACACCUAAAAACCAUUAUAUUAUAGUAGUUUGUACUAAAAACACUUUUUGAUUGGGUUUUACAAGCUACUCUAGAAUAGUGAAUUAGGUUAUAAAUUGUGUUUUGAUCCAAAAAACGACAAAAAAUCAAUCAAUCAGUGACUUCAACCUUAACAUUCUCCCACUUGAAGUCAUUCUUCUAUAUCUUGCCUUAUCACAUGCUACUUAACGUUACUACCAAGCCAUAAGAGGAUCUUCAUCAACUAAAUUUAUCAGUAUUAAUUGGUUUUGUCAAGGCAUCUAUUAGAUUAUCCUUUAUAUGGAUCUUUUACAACAGAAUAGGAAAAUCUUCUUUUGUUUGUGCCCAAGCUCCUUUAAUAACCUUUUAAUCUAAAUAGCUUCUUUGCAAGUCUGUGUAGUUGUCAUGUAUUCUACUUCUAUUAUAGAUAGAGUCACAACAAUUUGAAGUUUUGAAACCCAACUCACAAUUCCUCAUGUAAAGGUGAACACAUAGCCUGUAGUAGAUUUUCUUUUAUCAAGUUCACUUGCAAAGUCUUAAUCAAUAUAACCUUCAACAAUGAAUUUUGAUCCUCUAAAACAUAAUACAGCAUUUGAAGUCCCUUUAAUGUAUCUAAGGAUCCUCUUAAAUAUAUUCCAAUGUUCUCUCCCCAGGAUUGCUUGAACCGAAUUACCACUCUUACUACUUGUGGAAUGUUUGGUCUUGUACAAACCAUAACAAACAUUAAGCUUUCCAUUACUAAUGCAUAUGGUGUUCGAGAUAGUUUCAUCCUCUCCACUUUAUUACUAGGACUCAUACUUGAAGAUAAUUUUUAAUUCACUUAAAAUAGGAUAGAACUGGCUUACAAUCAUGCAUGUUGAAAUGGCAUAAAAUUUUCUUCAAUUAUUUUUUCUAUGAUAGUCAAAUCUUCUUGCUUUAUCUAUCUUGAUGAAUUUGCACCCCUAGAAUUUUGUUUGUUGAUCCUAGAUCCUUCAUUUCAAACAUCCUAGCCAAUUGUGUAUUUAAUUCUUGCACUCGAUCUUUGUUGGGGUUUAUAACCAACAUAUUAUCCACAUACAACAACAAAAUAUUAAAAUCAUCACUCUCAGACCUCUUGUAAUAUGUACAAUGAUCUAAAUUGAGCCUAUUAUACUCAAGACUUAAUAUGAAGGAAUCAAAUCUUUUGUACCAACAUCUCGGUACAUGUUUUAAACCGUAUAUAGAUUUGGUUAACCAUCAAACUAAGUUUUCUUUCCCAUUUUUUAUAAAACCUUACAGUUUGAGCAUAUAAAUUUCUUCUACAAGCUCUUCAUGGAGAAACACAGCUUUCACAUCUAAUUGCUCAAGGUGUAAAUCAAAUCUAACACGCAUGGUUAGGACUACUCGAAUUCAUGUAAGUUAAAGAACAAGAAAAAAAAUCACAUUAAAAUCAACACCUUCUUUCUUAGCAUAUAUUUUAACCACCAGUCUUGCACAAUAUUGUUCCACUUGGUCAUUGCUAUAACAUUUGAUUGUAUAGACCUACUUGUUUCCAAUAGCUUUCUUCUAGGUGGUAGUGACACAAGUUUCCAUGUUUAGUUCUUAUACAAAGUUUUAGCCUUAUUUUGCAUUGUUGUCAUCCAUAAAGAUGAAUCUAAACUUUUUAUGGCCUCUUAAUAAUUUGAAGGCUCUCCAUUUUUUAUAAGAAAACAACAUGUAACCUCAGUUAUGAUAACAAACUCUGAGUGCCAAAAAGGUUCUCUUCUUUCUUAGAUUGACCGUCGCACUUCAAGUAUCUCAGACUUAAUUGGUACUUGUUCAUUGUGCUAUGGAACUACUUUAGAAGAUUCCAGUUGUUUUUGUUCUAAUUGUUUGUUUCCAAUUAAACAUAUAGUAUUUAUUUUUUUUCAUGAAUGUGUUAUCUCCUUCUUCACUUUGUAGCAAGUCUUUUACAAAUAUUUCGUCUCUACUAAUGAUAACCUUGUAGGCAAUGGGAUUCCACAGGCGAUACCCAUUUACUCCAUCAGCAUACCCUAAGAAUAUGCAUCUUUUAGAUUUUAGAUCCAACUUUAUUCUUUCUUGGUCAUUAUACAUCACAUAAGCAACACGCCCAAAUAUGUGUAAGGAGGAAUAGUCUACUAGCUUACCAAUCCACAUCUCCAUAUGUGUCUUCAUCUUAAUUGUUGUUAAUGGAGACAUAUUCAUUAAAUAGCAUGCAAUUGUGGUUGCUUCAGCCCAAUAUAUUUUGGGUCAUCCUGCAGUAUUCAACAUAGCUCUCAUUCUUUCUGUAAAAGUUCUAUUGGUUUGUGUUGUUAUGUUAUUUUGUUGUGGAGUAUAAGAAAUAGUUUUUUAUCGUUGUAUGUCUUUUUUACUAUAAAAUGCAUCAAACUCCUAGCUAAAGAAUUCUCAUUCAUUGUUUGUCCUCAAAAAUUUAAUCUUCUUUCCCAUUUCUAAUUUCUUCUGCACUUUAAAGGUUUUGAAUAUUGGAAAAACAUUUGGCUUUCUCUUGAUGAGGUACACCUAACAUCUUUGGAAUAAUCAUCUAUAAACAACACCAGAUAGUUUGUGUCUCCAAAAGAUGUGACCAGUGAUUCCUAAACGUCAAAAUGAACCAAGUCUAUAAUGUCCUUACUUCUUAUAGUAGAUCUAUUGAAUCUUAAUUUAUGUUGCUUACUAAUAACAUAGUGCUCACAAAAUGGUAGACUUACAGUUUUGAGUCCAUGAAGCAACUUUUGAUCAGAGGGAAUUUUCAAUCUAUUUUCUAACAUGUUUGUGAUGUCACCUCAAUGGAAAUUCUUCUCCGAAGUUUCCAACAAAAGUUCUCACCUCUUGAUAUGUCUUCUCAUGUAGCAUGUAUAGAUUUGCAACAAUCUUCUCUACCUUUAUCACCACAAGUACACCUUUGAUAACCUUCAUGAUUCCACUUUUAACAAGGAAUUCAUACCCAAGGUCAUCCAAUUGUCCCAGAUAAUUCUUCUUUAAGCCCUUCACAUGUUGUACCUCUAAAAUAAUGCAAAUCACAUCAUCAUCCAUCUUCACUUUGAUGAAGUCAAUGCCAAUAAUCUCUAAGGCACAAUCAUUACCCAUGUACAUUGAUCCUCUUGAGAUAAGUUCACCAUUCUCUAUGAGAAGUCAUGUGUCAUGUUGCUAAUGAGUCAAUUAAACAAACUUCAACAAAUCUUUUUAUGUCUUUUGCAAUUGUUGUUGCCUCACUAUAUAAGAUUUCACAUUUAUUUGAAGUACUUGUUACACAACUCUAAGUAUUUGAUGACGCAAAUUCUUUCUCUUUCAUGUUUUUCUCUACCCCUCUUUAGUAGUGUCAACACUCCUUUUUUAUGUGUCCCUAUUUUCCACAGUGAUAACAUUUAACUUUCUUCUUAUCCUCCAACUUUGACCUAUUCUAUUUGUAACUCCCACUAGAACCACAUUUUGCUCAUCUUCCUCUAGAAAUAAUUAAAGCCUCAAUUUGCUGAGAAUAUGAUAUUUUAUCUUUCUUGUUUUUACGCCUACUUUCUUCCUCAAGUACAAUAGUCGCAACAUCAUUAAAGACUAGCAUUAUCUUUAAAGCACCAUUGGCGAAAUUUAUGAUGAGAUGAUCAUAUGAAUCAAGUAGACUUUGGAGUAUAAGUUCGACCCAUUCUUUCUCUUCUAUAUUAUACUCCAUAGUUGAUAAUUGAGAUAAUAGAGUUUUCAAGGUGUUCAUGUGUUCAGUCACCAAACUAGAUUCUAACAUCCGAAGAGUGUACAGUUUUCUUUUCAAGAAGAUUUUGUUAUGCAAUGACUUGGCUUCAUAUAAAUUUUUCAAAAUAUCCCAAAUUUUUUUUUUUGUUGAUAGUAAUUCUAAGAUGUUUGACAGUAUAUUAUCUAUUACUACUAAAUGCAAGUUUGAAACAGCAUCCUCACCCAUUUGCUCCCACUUUUUGUCUUCACCAUUUUCUAGCCUUUCACCAAUUGCUUGUAAUCAAUUUUCCUUCCUUAAGAUAAUUUUCAUUUUUAUUUUCCACAACCCAAAAUUGUUCCCAUUGAAUUUUUAUAUUUCAAAUUUCGCGGUCAUUUGUUUAACUUUUACGGUGAAUAGUAACCCAAAAUAGUAGUAAGUGUAUGUGUUAAAUACACUAGGAAAGUCCCUAUGAAAGUAGAGGGGUCACAAUGGUUCCACUUAAAACCCUUUUUCUUUAAGCUCUUAUAGCCCUUUUGAUAGAACUUUACUAGACUGCCUAUUGUCCUAAACCUAGGCUUUGAUACCAUUGUUAUGAAAUGAUACCCAUGGCAAUAAUUUGAAAAUAUAAUAAUAAAUAAAAAUAAUUGGAAAAAGUACUUAUAUGGUAAAACCUUCUUCAUAUGAGAGAAACCUUCAUGGGGCAAGAUCAAAAACUAUCCACUAUAUGAAAACAAAAUUACAACCUCUCUCUUAAUUAAGAGGAAAGAAUAUAACAACUUACAAAAUGAUGAAAGUCUUUUUUGGGGAUGAAUAGUAUAAAAGGUGGAGAUCUCCUUUUAUGGCAAAAGGAAGCUCCCAUAUUUUUGUCUUCUUCCGAUGUGGGAUGACUUCAACUUUAACAGGGUGCGGCACUAUACAAGAGGAUGCAAUGAAGGUGCAACACAAGUGGAUGCAGUAGGGAUGCAAGGAAGUCUCGGAUUGCAACACAAAUGUAGCAAAAAUAAGGAUUAAACCAAGAAUAAAUCAUCUUUGUUUGGGUUUUUUCUAUUUCUGAAAGCUACAAAAACAUGUUUUACAUCAAGAAUUACAUAAGCAACUUGGUGAUUAUCUCUCUUCUCUUUGUUGAGGUUAUCUUUAUUUGCACCUCCUCUCCAUCCUAAAACUCUCAAUGGCUUCAAUCAAACUCUAAAAGUCUCCAUUCUUUUAUUGUAGCAUUCCUCCUAUGAAACUGUCACUCUUUUCAUGUGAUUACAUACCAAUAUGAUAACAUCAACUAUAUGCACACUAAGUUCGUAUCAUUCAAAGCUAACAAAGAUUUGCUCUCAUGCAUUAUAGUGCUUUUAGGAUAGAUAAUCACGAAACUUCUAUAAAUCAAAUAUGAAAUCUUCAUGAUUCAUAAAACUUCUAUAUCAUCGAGUUAGGUCUCUUUUCUUUUUUCUUUUUUUUGAUAUUUUUUAGAGGAUUUUUGGGCCAAAAUCCAUCAAAUGGGCUACCUUUUAGUGUAAUUUUGGAUGAGUUUUGGUACAAUAAAGUGUGACAAAAAAUAUGCCCCAUCAAAAUCUAUAUGCCCCCUAAAUCUAGAAUUCAUAUUUAUGUGUUGGGUUUUAAAAAUAAAAAUAAAAAGGAUGAUGCCCUCCUAAAAAUAUUGAUAAUAAAAAAUUUAUUAGAAACUUAAAAAUAAAAUAAAAUCAUAAAUAAAAAUCAAUUUUUGGUUUGAAAAGAUAAAAACAUAAUGACUAAUUUUCAAUGAUUAAAAAAAAUUACCAAAUUUUGCAAGAAAUUUUAAUAUAAAUUACAAAACAUCUUCUUUAUCUACUUCUAGUUAGUUAACUUUCUAUUAAAAUUAGCAUAAAUUUCCUUUUAAAUUCAUAUAAAUUUUUAAUAUAAUAUAUUUUAUUUGAAAGAGUUUUGAAAUUUUGUUUUAAAAAAAUUGUUUGAUAAUCUUUCCUUGAUACUUUCUUAGGUGCAAACUCUAUGAGAUCCUAAGGCUACUCUAGAUAUAUCCUAAUGUUAAAUAUUUUGUUUAUUUAGAAUCUUUAUCUAAUCAUGGAUUUAAUUUAGUAAGUUGAAUAGUCUUAAAAUUUUGUUAUAAAAUUUACCAACUUUUUAUAAAAUAUGAAAGUAUGCUCACAUUUAUUUAAUUCAAAAUCUUGCAAUUUAAAUAGUCCCCCUAAUAUAAAUUUUUUGGCUCUGCCACGCGUUACAUGUUAUGAAUAUACUUGGCAUGUACGAUGAUCAGAUGCAUUUGCUUGUGACCUUCAGAUGUAAGUCACCAUCUGUAAGAUUGUCCUCGGUAUCCUUGUGGUCUGUGUAAACUUGGUACCCUCUCUCUCCCCCUCCACCACUCCACCGCCGGGCCCUGUCCCUCUCUCUCUCUCUCUCUCUCUCUCUCUCUCUCUCUAACAAUGAUGGAGGCAAUAUGUAUCUCUCCACAAACAUUUCGUGACUUUUGUCCUACGAAACCCCACAUGUAUCUCUCCCUCACAAGCCAAAACAACUCGUUCUAAUAAUGAUAUCGGUAGUAUGUAUCUACCCAAAAACAUUUCAUAACUUUUAUCCUACUUUUAUCCUACGAAACCCCAUAUCCAUCUCUCCCUCAAAAGUCAAGACAACUCUUUCCCUAAUAAUGAUAUCGGUAGUAUGUAUCUCUCCAAAAACUUUUCAUAACUUUUGGCCAACCAAACCCCACAUGGAUCUCUCCCUCAAAAGUCAGAACAACCAGUCUCCAUUCAACCCAUUGCCAGGGUUUUCUCUCUACCUCUGUAUGUCUCUUCUCCGUUAUUCCAGACCUUUCAACAACUCUGUUUGUCUCUAUCCUUUCAUUCCAAAAUGGUAUAUCAUUCUUUCGUUAAAUGUCACCAAAAUGAAGAUCACCAUGUCUUUCAUGUUCACAAGAAAUGAGAUUGCUGCUACCAAAAUUCAAACACCAACUAGAGAGGAUUUUUAAUUAAUGGCCAAUCGUGUGACAGACCACAACCCUUUUGAGACUUUUUUGGGACCUUAGAGGACUGGAAAUUGGAAAGAAGAAAGGGGGGAGAAAGAGAGGAGGAAUUGUCUCUUUGACGGGUCCCAAACCAUUUUUAGUGUCGUUUGAAAUGGGGUUUGGAACAGUAAAGUAUUAUAUAUGAAAUGUCUAAACGUGUGUUCUAAUUCCUUACAAAAAGGGUUUCGUAAAUGAUACAAAUUCUGUUGUUUUACACUUGCACGUAAUUAUUAAGAUUGACAACCACCUCCACCUACAAGAACUAGACCUUGGUCUUCUUGUGGUAUCGCUUUCCUGAAGUGGGUAAGAUGUCAUUGUAAUGGAGAUUUUGACUUCCCUUCCACUCCCAAUCAAAAUAUUUCCCUUUGUAUUAAUACACAUUUUCAUGGACCCUAAUUAAAUUUUAAAAUGUCAAUAAAUAAAAAUAAAAAAUAAAAAAUUAUUUACAUUUUUAUCUAUUCUCAAAUGAAAAUUAGGAUUAACAGAUUAAAAAUGAUGAAAACGUCUCAAAUUUGUAAAACUAAUCUCUCCCAUUUUUUAAUUCGAAGAAUAACCCAUUUUCAAUAUAAAUACUCUUUAACAUUUUCGUUAUUCACAUAUAUAUUUAGAAAGAAAAAAAACGAUUACUUUGUAAAUAAAAAGAUGGGAACAUUUUUAUCAAAAAUUGAUAUAUUUUAAGUUAAAAAUAUAUGAAGGAUUAAUUGUUCAAAAUGGGGAAGAUUUUAUCCCUUAUCCUAAAAAUGAUCAUAGUAUUGUCUUAUAUAAGAAACUCUAUUUAAAAAGCAAAAACAAACAAACAAAGAAUAGUCUCCCAUGUAUCCAUUAUUUUAGUUAGGGUCCUGUAGUCAUUGAAUGAGAAAUAAAGACAGGCCAACCACACUUCAGCCACAUAGCAUGACUGUCCUUCCCAAAUUAAACACUUCUCCUCUCUCUCUCUCUCUCUCUCUCUCUCUCAAGAGAGUACCAUCAACUAUUUACUAGGGUUUUUCGAUGUUUAAUUGCAAAACAAACAUGGAUUACCCCAAGAGCUCCAUUGGGAACUUUGCCAUUGCUCUACUCCUUACUGGGCUUGUCUCUCUCUACCUCCCCUCUCCAUUCCCCACCUUCCAAUGGCCCCAAUCACCCACUGUAAGUCUCCACUAAUUCUCCAUUAGGGUUUCCCUCAUUUGAUAUCAAAAUCCAAAAAAUUAAAAGAUCAUCAUUAUUUUAUGUUACACCAAUUUCCUUCUCUUUUUUUUUUUCUUACAGAAGGCUCUCGAGGUGGUGCCUCAAGAUGAUCUCGAAGCAGCGUUGAGCAAAGCAUCAAUGCCCAACAAGACUGUAAUAAUCACAAUAGUGAACAAAGCCUAUGUCGAAGGCGACGACACAUCGAUGCUGGAUCUUUUUCUGGAGAGCUUCUGGAUCGGAGAAGGUACAAGGGAGAUGGCGGACCACCUGUUGGUGGUAGCGUUGGACCAGACGGCGUUCGACCGCUGCAUUUUCCGGCGACUCCACUGCUACAAAAUGGUGAGCGAGGACGGAGAUAUGGAUGGAGAGAAGCUUUACAUGUCGAAGGACUUCAUCAAAAUGAUGUGGAGAAGGAC
rnacentral:lncRNA from 1 species